CCUACGGGUGGCAGCAGUGGGGAAUAUUGCACAAUGGGGGAAACCCUGAUGCAGCGACGCCGCGUGAGCGAUGAAGUAUUUCGGUAUGUAAAGCUCUAUCAGCAGGGAAGAAAAUGACGGUACCUGACUAAGAAGCCCCGGCUAACUACGUGCCAGCAGCCGCGGUAAUACGUAGGGGGCAAGCGUUAUCCGGAUUUACUGGGUGUAAAGGGAGCGUAGACGGCUUGGCAAGCCAGAUGUGAAAGCCUAGGGCUCAACCCCAGGACUGCAUUUGAAACUGUCAAGCUGGAGUGUCGGAGAGGUAGGCGGAAUUCCUAGUGUAGCGGUGAAAUGCGGAGAGAUUAGGAGGAACACCAGUGGCGAAGGCGGCUUGCUGGACGAUGACUGACGUUGAGGCUCGAAAGCGUGGGGAGCAAACAGGAUUAGAUACCCUGGUAGUC
rnacentral:rRNA from 1 species